GCCAUCAGAAGCCGGCAGAGACGAAGAAGUGUAUCAAGAUGCGACAUUAGGUUGUUGAAGUAAAUUGGUUGUGGAAUUUUCUUCCGGCAGCAACCAUCUGUGGUUGAGAAUUGAACAGAGGAAGAAUUCCAAGAGGUGAGGUUCUGUGCACUGGGGUAUUCGGGUGGUGGACAACAUGUUUGAACAGAGCAGAGAGGUAAAUUCCAGUAGGGUUUCUUUGCCGGCAGCACUUCAACCAGUAACCCUAUUGGCUGUGAACUUGAGGACCUGGUCGCGAGACGAGUAUCUCGAUAUCGGAUUGGAC